GGGUAAAACAUUUUAAAAGCAUUCUCUUUAUAAUUGUAGGGUGUUAAAAAUCCACUGUGUACCAUAGUCAGGGAUGUUUAUGGUUAAGAGUAAAGAUCCUUUCUUCUCAAUCCUGUCACUUUGAGUUUUUGUAUAUUUUUUUUGAAAGAAAGUUAGCAUACCUUUUUAUCCUCAUAGGUUCUUCUCAGAUCACUCAUUAUCUUUUAUAUAUCUCACUGAGGUUGUUUUAUUUUGCUAAAAUUCUCAAGCAUACUUACUUUGCAUUUAUUGCCUGAUCAAAACAGGAUCCGAGGAGGGGAAUGUCAUACUCUUAGAUCAAAGACUUUGGAAAUUAAAAUCUUUGUCAACUCUUGCUGGCAUAUUGCUUAUUAGAGGGACCAUGGGCUAUCAUUUUCUCAUUUUCUUCUUUUUUUUAAGUGGAUACCGAGGUAUCCCUAAUUCUACUGCCGGACACUUGUCCAUUUUUUCUGCGAGGUUGUCGAGCACUUGCUCCUUUUUAUUUCCUCAAAAUAUCUCUAUUUUUGCAUAGCCCAUGCCUCUAAUGCAAUAAUACUUCGGAAGAGUGAAUCUUUCUGAAUAAAUGUCUUGAUCUUAGGAGCAUGAUAAACCUCUCAACAAGGGUCUAACUCAUUUUGAACAAACUCAAUACAGAGGAGAUAGCUUUUAUAAUUAUAAUUAAUAUUUUUAGUUUUAUCAGGCAUAUAAAACACUGAGGAUGGUAGCUAGAGUUUUGAAUAUUUUGAAAUAAAUUCUCCAAGCAACAAUGAUAUCAAGAAUAAGAAACUCAUACUCUACCAUCACAUAUUCCAUAUUGACUUAAGUAACACAGGGUUUUAAAAUGAUUUUAUAAUAGUUGCAAGUUUUCAGGAAAUAUCAUAGAUUGAGAUUAACCAUGAUUAGAAAUAUUUUAAUCUUUUUAAUUUAUCAUGUCGGAAACAAUAUUCUGCAUAAUCCAAAAUAUAUGUAUGUGUAAAGUAAAGUGUGCAGAGUGUGUACCUGAAUCGUGGAGUGGUGUGGUCGGAGUGUGUUUGACAUGUCGAGGGAUCUCCCCCAUACUUGUUUUCUGCUUUCUUGCACAAAAAUAAAGUAGAGACACACAAGACAUAAUAAUAAUACUCUUUAUUAAUCUUGAGGCAUUUAUU
rnacentral:lncRNA from 1 species